GUAAAAAAAUCAAUAAAAUAUAUUAAAAAAUAAAAUAAAUCUCUAUAUUGAAAUAAACCAGGUAUGCCUUUUAAUAAUUAAAAACUCAUGGCUGGUUUAAAGAAAGUAUCAUUGGUUUGGGGUGACAUAUCUGAACAACAGAGCUUCACCAAUCAUCAGGGGUAGACAAACUUUUAAAGGAACCAGCAUUAUUAAAUAGUAAGAGUACUCUCAAGCGCAUGUCAGAAACCAAACCCCACAGAGAAGACAGAAAAACAAGUCUCUCUCAGGCCACAAAGAAAACAACACAACCAAACAAAAAAAAAGAGAACCAGAGGCUAACAAAACAAAACGUCUCAUUUACAACAAUUUCAGAUAUAUCAACUUCUUUAAUGGAAUUUAAAUCUUCCUGAGGACAUACCAACCCAUUUCCCCCAUUUCCAAACCAGAAAGCCUACGGUUCUGCUCUGUUCCGUCCCCCCCCCAGAGCCCCAUCAUCCGAUGCCUCCUCCCCAGAGGAAACACCAAUGGCCACAUGAGGAACUCGGCACCCCUCCCACUCAUGGGCACUCUGCUGGGCCUCGCCAGCACGAGAAAGUGCAAGUGUAAGAUAUGAAAUACGAAGUAUUCCAGAGCCCCACCAGGGCAUUCAGGUAUCAAUGUCCCAUUAAGUUUCCUUCUCAGAUUUUCCCAUGGUGCCUCCAAAAAGAUUUCCAAGGUCAAACUGAUUACAGAUUAUUCUAAUACUUUAACCAAUUAACCAAAACAACCAAUACUUAGUAUUUCUGCCCAGACCUUUUCAACAUAAUCACAGUUUAAAAAAUAAAAAUGAGCUAAAUAAUAAAUGCCACAUCCUUUGGUGGAUCUCAAUUUAAAAAAAGCAAAUCUCAUUAUUCUCAAAGCUAUUUGGAAACGAACGACUGGAUGCCUUUGAGAGAAAUAUCUAAUGAGGGGAACUUCUUGCACAAAUGCCUACAAGUUCAGUUGAACUGUGAACUGGUUAAAGACUUUCUCAUUUUCAAGUGAUUAUCCAUAUUUUAUUAUUGUUUAGUGUCAUAAUGUCUCAAACUGUGUAUUAAUUUAGCCAAAAAUUGCUCAUUCCCAACUCUUACAUUCUCUGCAUCAACCCAUGCAGCCUGGACUCCAGCCUCCUGAGCAGCCUGUGCGCUCUGGUGCCCAGAGGAUCCAGACACACUGGGCGUGGCCUUUCCCACUGCAAAUGCGGUUUCUCCCACCAUGGUGCUCACUUCCUUCUCGUUUGCAUCGGCUCAGGUUUCGAAGAGUCUGCUGAAUGCAGGUCCAAUUUCUGGGAUCAUGUCGGAGGUAGUGGUGGAGCGGCCGUACUUCUGGAAGGCUUGGUGGCUGCACUGCCUUGUGAGGGAGCACGCACCAAAGGCAGCCACGAGGGGAGGGCUGAAACUGCAGGGCAGAGACAUUAGCAAGGGGCUGUGGGAGGUGGGAAGUCCUCCCUCCACGGCUUCCUCAGACAUCAGGGACCUGAAGCCACCGAGGCGCUGAUUUCCUUCCUGUUUCCACGGAGACCCCAAUUUGGCAAUUUCUCGUCUGGUAUGCCACUGAGGCAUAAGCAGCUUUACUAGAGUUAAAAUAACCAUUAGUCCUCUGAUACUGAUAUUCCCUGACAAAAGGCAUAUCAAAAAUACCUGUCCACCUGGAGAAAGGGGAGAACACAGCAGUUUUCCCCUGGUGAAAACCAGACCAGGGCUUGCGGAUUAGCAUUUAGAAGUAGGGAAUAUUCCAAACCUGAGAAUGCAGGUUCUUCCUAACAUCACUAGACUUCCGCUGUAGCUCCUGCCCAUGCGCACACGUGGCGAUGCUCUCUGCCUGCCAGGUGUGCUACACCCUCACAGGCCCAACACUGCUUUACCAGGUGUCAGGCAGGGCCCUCCAGAUCCAGGACAUCCCACCCGGCGUGCUGGCCUUCUGUCAUCAUGAAGGUUGUAGGAAGAGAAACUGAGGCUCACAGAGGGAUGGGAGCGACCAGAGUUCACUUACAAAAAGCUAAGAGCCGAAGUGGGCCAAAGCCCAGACCCUAGAAUUCUGUUCCUCAAAAACAAAACAAAA